AUUUUACAAUGGUCCAUCAUCCAAAGAAUAUCAUGCGUUGCUGCUUCUUCGUACUACUUUCCUUUUCGAUUGGUCAUUUUUGGUUUUGAGAUUGCAGAAAAUAAGUACUAAUAUUAGAGAAGCAAGUCACAAAUAUAUAUUAUUGGUGUCUAUUCCCACCUCUACCUGCCAAAACAAAAUUAAAACACAAACUGCCCCAAGUGGAUAUUUCCAGGAUGUGUGGCCAUUAUUUCAUUAAAGGCCCAAGGUUCUUACUCUAGGAACUCUUGAUUAUAUGUAAAUUGAUAAGUGAGAUAGUUCAUCGUCUUUGCAGGUUAACAUGCAUAUAUGCUGCUUGUAAGGCAGAGGAGCUUGACAAAGGGAUCGAACAGGAUCAUCAUAUGAUUCUUGAUAAUGAAAUGCUGGUUUUUCAGGCAUGAAUGUCACAUAGUAAGCUUCGAUUCUUUUUAAUUUUUUAAUCGAUUGAUAUUGUUUUCUAUCUCUGCAUUCGAUCUUGUAGUUUAUUCUCCAUAUCGACCACUUCAAGGCUGAUAUGCAGGAAUUUGGUGAUGCAAGUGAGAGGCAGUCUGAGAUAUGAAGGUGCCUUUUGUUAAAGUUCAUUUCUCAUUAUAAGACUACAUUUCUGGUGUUUCAGUUAUACCCUAUGAUCUGGUUUAAUUCAAAAGUGAUUAGAGCAAAUUCUAUAGGUUGAAUUACGUUGACCUUUUGCAUUAUAUAUUCCAAUUAUCAUCUCUUAUAUGCCCGUCUUUUUUUCAUGUCCCAUUUAUGAUGUUUAACACCUAAAUCUAUUAUAUUUUUCUGCAUGUUUUCCAUGAAUCUGCCAAAGCUGAGGUUGAUAGAAUUAUGCGUACGAAAGCCCCCCUUCUAUGCCCACCAGGGCCGGUACAGUUCGAAACUAUACUUUGUGAUCUUUUAUAGACUUCUUAGUGUUAGCUUAAGACAAAGUAUCAAAUUGGCAAAACUAUUGUUGCUCUGAUUCAUUGUCAUAUACUACCAAAAUUUGAUAAUGUGUAAAAUGAUUAGUAUUUCAUACUAGCAUUUAGCACCACACCCCCCUUGAGAUAUGUGAAGAAGCAUAGCUUCACAUUCCUGUAUCACUGAAUGAGCACAGCCACAGAUAGAUGAUUUACCUAUUGUAUCAAAUUAGGCAUGGGCAAUUAGUAGCAUCCUGAACAAAAUGACCUUUCAGUACAUAUUCAUGUUACCAAUUAUCCUUUGAUUCCCCCAAACCUGAGGUGUUGAAUCUUUAAAAAAUUUCUCCAACUUUCAACACAAUUUCAACCUUGUGCAUCAAAUUGCAUCCGAGAGGUUAUUUUGCUUGUGGUUUGGCUAUGAUCACACUGGUUCACCUUCGCAUUUGCAGCUUUAAGAAGAUAAAGCUAUCGACUUCGAGAGGUUCAAAACCUCCAAGCCUGGAUAAAUUAUGCCAGUUAUGAAUGCAAAUUUAUCCUUGGAAAUAAUUCUUUGACAGAUUACUGAAAAACGUGCUCUCUCGGAAGCAUCCAGCUCAUAGCAUUUCAGAGCUCUGCCUUAACAACAUGAAUGCAAUUGAUGGGCGGGUAUAAUAUUUCCUUUCAUUUUGUUGCAAUAUCAUAACUUGAUAGAUGUAGCUGGCCGUGCUUUACCUGCUGAGUUGCUUUGGAUGCUAUUUUAGUUUACAGAUUAGCAAGCUUGAGACCCCUAUGCCGAAAGAUGUAAAGCACAUUGAUACUAAACUUAAAUCAUGCUUGGAUCCAACUUCAUAUGAGAAGUACAUACCAUAAACUUAUCUCUCCAUGUAAAACAUGUUUCUGGAAACUCUGGUCUUAUCGACAACAACAGGGGAAGCCGAUACAACAUUAGCCAGCAGGGAUGUAGUUUCAGCAAGAUGCUAGAGUGAAGCUUAGAGCCGCAUUGCUUGAAGAGAAUCUGAGAAUGAUUCUGUGAAGCUCAUAGUUGAUAGAGAUAAUUUUGUAUUGUUCAAUUUCCUCGUCACCAAAUUUGGGUUUGGCUAGUCUUCACAACUUUGCAUAACAGGUUUAAAAUAUUGGUACAUGUGAAAAAUGGUGCAUUUAUUCCAUGCCAUCAAUUUGAAUUACUAUAUCAAAACAAUGUACUCAUAUAGUAUAUAUUUAUAUGUUAAUAAAUCGUCGCCACUUUUCAUUUGUAUUGCUAGAAAACGUCCAGAAGCAUUGUACCAUGAGCAGGCAAAUGCGGUUAUGCAGGAAAAGAAAAUGAACUCUUGUUUCUACCAAAAGGGACUGACUUAACCGAUUCUAGCACAUACCGAUGUAGUUUUACAGAUUUUGGACAAUCCCUUUCCAUGUUUUUUCGCCCGUUGCUUGACAAGGUGUAUGUUUUAGCUGUGUUUCUUGCAUCCUAUGUACCUCUGAAACUAGCUUCUUUUUAUUGUAUCAACUUUUCUUACAUAGAGAAAAGAAAGGUUCAACAAGAUAGACAAGGAAACAGGAAAAGAAUGUGAUCUUGCAUUAAACAUAAAUAUGCGUAUACAUAUCAUGGAUUUCUAGAGACGAAGAGAGGUAUCAACAUCAGAAAUUUCAAAGAAACUGUGAGGCCCUCUAACAGUUUGUUGGCGUCGGAAAUGUGGCGUGUCAUGAUUAUGGGAGGCAGAGUUGAGCCCAAGUGCUAGAGGGUCUUGACAAGCAGCGUUGUUUGAAGACAAAGUUGAAAAUCUCGUGACUGAAAGGUCAUGGCGAAGAUUGGUUUCUUGAGGCAUUAGUCUGAGAUUCUGUGUCUCUUCUCUCAUCUCCUUCAAUCUCUGCAGCUGCUUAAACCUUUCUUGAAGUAGCACUAUUGAUGAACCAACUAUUGCUGGAUCCUUGUGUUGCCUCCCCAUUCUCUCUCUCUCUUGCAUGGUGUGUGUUUAUGUAUGAUAGUGUAUAUAUAAGAGAGGGGUGUUAUUGUUUUUGCCACUGGUUUUGGAGGUUAUUAAUCAGCCUCUUGAUUGAUUCUAGUGUGACGAAAUGAAGGGGAGAAUCGGGCGACUGCGCAGUAAAGUCCAAGAAGGAAAUGCUUGAGAGAGUAGUGAAAUAAUCUAGAGAGAGGGAGAGAAGUUGGUGAAGGGAAAAGGGGUUGAAAGGUAUGGCUAAAUGUUGAGGGGAUGAGGCCAAAUGGGAAUGUAUAUAGUAGUUGGAGGGAUAUGUUUAUUGGAAUAUGAGGUUGUGUGUCGGCUUGUUUUGAGCAUUCUAACUAUGUCAUCAUUGAUGGUUCCAUUCUUGUUGUUAUCUUGAGUCAUCAAUGAUGAUUUUGAUUAAUUUAAUAGGUUAGUACAACAAUUUGUACAGUGUAAUAACUUUGAAACAUAACAAAAUUCGCCAUUUGAUUCUUUAUCUUGAA